rnacentral:rRNA from 1 species
CAGUCGCCACGGUAAUACAGAGGGUGCGAGCGUUAAUCGGAUUUACUGGGCGUAAAGCGUGCGUAGGCGGCUUCUUAAGUCGGAUGUGAAAUCCCUGAGCUUAACUUAGGAAUUGCAUUCGAUACUGGGAAGCUAGAGUAUGGGAGAGGAUGGUAGAAUUCCAGGUGUAGCGGUGAAAUGCGUAGAGAUCUGGAGGAAUACCGAUGGCGAAGGCAGCCAUCUGGCCUAAUACUGACGCUAAGGUACGAAAGCAUGGGGAGCAAACAGGAUUAGAGACCCCUGUAGUCCCUGUCUCUUAUAC